GAUGAACGCUGGCGGCGUGCCUAAUACAUGCAAGUCGAGCGAACGGACGAGAAGCUUGCUUCUCUGAUGUUAGCGGCGGACGGGUGAGUAACACGUGGAUAACCUACCUAUAAGACUGGUAUAACUUCGGGAAACCGGAGCUAAUACCGGAUAAUAUUUUGAACCGCAUGGUUCAAAAGUGAAAGACGGUCUUGCUGUCACUUAUAGAUGGAUCCGCGCUGCAUUAGCUAGUUGGUAAGGUAACGGCUUACCAAGGCAACGAUGCAUAGCCGACCUGAGAGGGUGAUCGGCCACACUGGAACUGAGACACGGUCCAGACUCCUACGGGAGGCAGCAGUAGGGAAUCUUCCGCAAAGGGCGAAAGCCUGACGGAGCAACGCCGCGUGAGUGAUGAAGGUCUUCGGAUCGUAAAACUCUGUUAUUAGGGAAGAACAUAUGUGUAAGUAACUGUGCACAUCUUGACGGUACCUAAUCAGAAAGCCACGGCUAACUACGUG
rnacentral:rRNA from 1 species